rnacentral:rRNA from 1 species
CCUACGGGAGGCUGCAGUAGGGAAUAUUGCUCAAUGGGGGAAACCCUGAAGCAGCAACGCCGCGUGGAGGAUGAAGGUUUUCGGAUUGUAAACUCCUUUUGUUAGAGAAGAUAAUGACGGUAUCUAACGAAUAAGCACCGGCUAACUCCGUGCCAGCCGCCUCGGUAAGACGGAGGGUGCAAGCGUUACUCGGAAUCACUGGGCGUAAGGAGCGCGUAGGCGGGAGAGCAAGUCAUAUGUAAAAUCCUAUGGCUUAACCAUAGAACUGCAUUUGAUACUGUUAUUCUAGAGUAUGGGAGAGGUAGGAGGAAUUCGUGGUGUAGCGGUAAAAUCCGUAGAGAUCAAGCGGAAUACUCAUUGCGAAGGCGACCUGCUAGAACAUAACUGACGCUGAUGCGCGAAAGCGUGGGUAGCAAACAGGAUUAGAUACCCCUGUAGUC